rnacentral:rRNA from 1 species
GACGAACGCUGGCGGCGUGCUUAACACAUGCGAGUCGAACGGAAAGGCCCUGCUUUUGUGGGGUGCUCGAGUGGCGAACGGGUGAGUAACACGUGAGUAACCUGCCCUUGACUUUGGGAUAACUUCAGGAAACUGGGGCUAAUACCGGAUAGGAGCUCCUGCUGCAUGGUGGGGGUUGGAAAGUUUCGGCGGUUGGGGUUGGACUCGCGGCUUAUCAGCUUGUUGGUGGGGUAGUGGCUUACCAAGGCUUUGACGGGUAGCCGGCCUGAGAGGGUGACCGGCCACAUUGGGACUGAGAUACGGCCCAGACUCCUACGGGAGGCAGCAGUGGGGAAUAUUGCACAAUGGGCGGAAGCCUGAUGCAGCAACGCCGCGUGCGGGAUGACGGCCUUCAGGUUGUAAACCGCUUUCGCCUGUGACGAAGCGUGAGUGACGGUAAUGGGUAAAGAAGCACCGGCUAACUACGUG